AUAGCUAUGAGAUCUGAGGGCU
rnacentral:snRNA from 1 species